rnacentral:rRNA from 1 species
UCUGUGCGAAGGUAGCAUAAUCAUUAGUCUUUUAAUUGUGGACUGGUAUGAAUGGCUUGACGAGAUACUAACUGUCUUUUUAGGAUUUUGUUAUUGAAUUUGGUUUUUGGGUAAAAAUACCUAAAUUUUGUUAUGGGACGAGAAGACCCUAUAGAGUUUUAUGUAGCUUUCUUUCUUUAGUUUGAUUUAUUUUGUUGAGUUUAUGUUGCAUUUUGUUGGGGUGAUGGGAGAUUAAGUUAAACUUCUCUUUUUAGUAGUUCACUUGUUUGUGUUUUUAUGAUCCUUUAUUAUUGAUUGUAAGAUUAAAUUACCUUAGGGAUAACAGCGUAAUUCUUUUUGAGAGUUCUU